rnacentral:rRNA from 1 species
AGUGAACGCUGGCGGUAGGCCUAACACAUGCAAGUCGAACGGCAGCACAGUAAGAGCUUGCUCUUACGGGUGGCGAGUGGCGGACGGGUGAGGAAUACAUCGGAAUCUACUUUUUCGUGGGGGAUAACGUAGGGAAACUUACGCUAAUACCGCAUACGACCUACGGGUGAAAGCAGGGGAUCUUCGGACCUUGCGCGAUUGAAUGAGCCGAUGUCGGAUUAGCUAGUUGGCGGGGUAAAGGCCCACCAAGGCGACGAUCCGUAGCUGGUCUGAGAGGAUGAUCAGCCACAAUGGAACUGAGACACGGUCCAGACUCCUACGGGAGGCAGCAGUGGGGAAUAGUGGACAAUGGGCGCAAGCCUGAUCCAGCCAUACCGCGUGGGUGAAGAAGGCCUUCGGGUUGUAAAGCCCUUUUGUUGGGAAAGAAAAGCAGAAGGUUAAUACCCCGCUGUUCUGACGGUACCCAAAGAAUAAGCACCGGCUAACUUCGUG